rnacentral:rRNA from 1 species
GGCCAACGCAGUGCCAGCAGCCGGGGUAAUACGGAGGGGCCGAGCGUGGUCCGGAAGUAUUAGGCGUAAAGUGAUCGUGGGGGGUUUGUUGCGUAGGAGGUGAAAUCCUCCAGCUUAACUGGGAGCUGGCUUUCGGUACGGGCAGACUUGAGGUACUCAGGGGAGAAUGGAAUUCCUGGUGUAGCGGUGAAAUGCGCAGAUAUCAGGAGGAACACCGGUGGCGAAGGCGGUUCUCUGGGAGUUACCUGACGCUGAGGAGCGAAAGUGUGGGGAGCGAACAGGAUUAGUACCCCAGUAGUC